rnacentral:rRNA from 1 species
UUAACACAUGCAAGUCGAACGCACUUUUCGGGGUGAGUGGCAGACGGGUGAGUAACGCGUGGGAACGUGCCCUUCAGUUCGGGAUAACCCAGGGAAACUUGGGCUAAUACCGGAUACGUGCGAGAGCAGAAAGAUUUAUCGCUGAAGGAUCGGCCCGCGUCUGAUUAGCUAGUUGGUGGGGUAAUGGCCCACCAAGGCGACGAUCAGUAGCUGGUCUGAGAGGAUGAUCAGCCACAUUGGGACUGAGACACGGCCCAAACUCCUACGGGAGGCAGCAGUGGGGAAUAUUGGACAAUGGGCGCAAGCCUGAUCCAGCCAUGCCGCGUGAGUGAUGAAGGCCUUAGGGUUGUAAAGCUCUUUCGUCCGGGACGAUAAUGACGGUACCGGAAGAAGAAGCCCCGGCUAACUUCGUGCCAGCAGCCGCGGUAAUACGAAGGGGGCUAGCGUUGUUCGGAAUCACUGGGCGUAAAGGGCGCGUAGGCGGCUUUGUAAGUCGGGGGUGAAAGCCUGUGGCUCAACCACAGAAUUGCCUUCGAUACUGCAUGGCUUGAGACCGGAAGAGGUAAGUGGAACUGCGAGUGUAGAGGUGAAAUUCGUAGAUAUUCGCAAGA